GCUGGGUGUGGUGGUGUGUGCCUGUAAUCCCAGCUACUCAGGAGGCUGAGGCAGAAGAAUUGCUUGAACUCGGGAGGCGGAGGUUGCAGUGAGCUGAGAUCGCACCACUGCAUUCCAGCCUGGGUGACAGAGCGAGACUCUGUCUCAU
rnacentral:SRP_RNA from 1 species